AAGACAGCAGAUUAGCAUGCAUGUCUAGUACGCACGGCCGGUACAGUGAAACUGCGAAUGGCUCAUUAAAUCAGUUAUGGUUCCUUUGGUCGCUCGCUCCUCUCCUACUUGGAUAACUGUGGUAAUUCUAGAGCUAAUACAUGCCGACGGGCGCUGACCCCCUUCGCGGGGGGGAUGCGUGCAUUUAUCAGAUCAAAACCAACCCGGUCAGCCCCUCUCCGGCCCCGGCCGGGGGGCGGGCGCCGGCGGCUUUGGUGACUCUAGAUAACCUCGGGCCGAUCGCACGCCCCCCGUGGCGGCGACGACCCAUUCGAACGUCUGCCCUAUCAACUUUCGAUGGUAGUCGCCGUGCCUACCAUGGUGACCACGGGUGACGGGGAAUCAGGGUUCGAUUCCGGAGAGGGAGCCUGAGAAACGGCUACCACAUCCAAGGAAGGCAGCAGGCGCGCAAAUUACCCACUCCCGACCCGGGGAGGUAGUGACGAAAAAUAACAAUACAGGACUCUUUCGAGGCCCUGUAAUUGGAAUGAGUCCACUUUAAAUCCUUUAACGAGGAUCCAUUGGGG
rnacentral:rRNA from 1 species